AUAUAUAUAAUAAUAUUAUUAUUAUUUCUAAAAAUUUCAAAAGUUUUUGUGCAAAUUACACUUAUAUAUA
rnacentral:tRNA from 1 species